rnacentral:rRNA from 1 species
GGAAGGUGGGGAUGACGUCAAGUCAUCAUGGCCCUUACGGCCUGGGCUACACACGUGCUACAAUGGAAAUUACAAAAAGUUACGAGAAUUUAGUUUAAGUUAAUCUUUAAAAAUUUUCUUAGUUCGAAUUGUAAACUGAAACUCGUUUACAUGAAGUUGGAAUCACUAGUAAUCGCAAAUCAGCACGUUGCGGUGAAUAUGUAUCUUGGCCUUGUACACACCGCCCGUCA